GGGGAACUGAAACAUCUAAGUACCCCGAGGAAAAGAAAUCAACCGAGAUUCCCCCAGUAGCGGCGAGCGAACGGGGAGGAGCCCAGAGCCUGAAUCAGCAUGUGUGUUAGUGGAAGCGUCUGGAAAGACGCGCGAUACAGGGUGACAGCCCCGUACACAAAAGCGUAUGUGCUGUGAGCUCGAUGAGUAGGGCGGGACACGUGGUAUCCUGUCUGAAUAUGGGGGGACCAUCCUCCAAGGCUAAAUACUCCUGACUGACCGAUAGUGAACCAGUACCGUGAGGGAAAGGCGAA
rnacentral:rRNA from 1 species